UCGGGUCCGGUUCCCGACCUUCGAGCCAUUCGAAGGGUCGAUCCGGCGCCC
rnacentral:ncRNA from 1 species